CCUACGGGAGGCAGCAGUGAGGAAUAUUGGUCAAUGGGCGCUAGCCUGAACCAGCCAAGUAGCGUGAAGGAUGACUGCCCUACGGGUUGUAAACUUCUUUUAUAAGGGAAUAAAGUGAGGCACGUGUGCCUUUUUGUAUGUACUUUAUGAAUAAGGAUCGGCUAACUCCGUGCCAGCAGCCGCGGUAAUACGGAGGAUCCGAGCGUUAUCCGGAUUUAUUGGGUUUAAAGGGAGCGUAGAUGGGUUGUUAAGUCAGUUGUGAAAGUUUGCGGCUCAACCGUAAAAUUGCAAUUGAUACUGGCAGUCUUGAGUACAGUAGAGGUAGGCGGAAUUCGUGGUGUAGCGGUGAAAUGCUUAGAUAUCACGAAGAACUCCGAUUGCGAAGGCAGCCUACUAAACUGCAACUGACAUUGAUGCUCGAAAGUGUGGGUAUCAAACAGGAUUAGAUACCCUUGUAGUC
rnacentral:rRNA from 1 species